rnacentral:rRNA from 1 species
GAUGAACGCUAGCGACAGGCUUAACACAUGCAAGUCGAGGGGCAGCAUGAGGUAGCAAUACCUUGAUGGCGACCGGCGCACGGGUGAGUAACGCGUAUGCAACCUGCCCGAUACCGGGGUAUAGCCCAUGGAAACGUGGAUUAACACCCCAUAGUACUUUUAUCCUGCCUGGGAUGGGAGGUAAAUGUUCAAGGUAUCGGAUGGGCAUGCGUCCUAUUAGUUAGUUGGCAGGGUAACAGCCCACCAAGACGAUGAUAGGUAGGGGUUCUGAGAGGAAGGUCACCCACAUUGGAACUGAGACACGGUCCAAACUCCUACGGGAGGCAGCAGUGAGGAAUAUUGGUCAAUGGACGAGAGUCUGAACCAGCCAAGUCGCGUGAGGGAAGACUGCCCUAUGGGUUGUAAACCUCUUUUAUAAGGGAAGAAUAAGUUCUACGUGUAGAAUGAUGCCUGUACCUUAUGAAUAAGCAUCGGCUAACUCCGUGCCAGCAGCCGCGGUAA